UACGGGGGGAGCAAGCGUUGUUCGGAUUUACUGGGCGUAAAGGGCGCGUAGGCGGCCAGCACAAGUCAGUUGUGAAAUCUCCGAGCUUAACUCGGAACGGUCAACUGAUACUGUGCGGCUAGAGUGCGGAAGGGGCAACUGGAAUUCUCGGUGUAGCGGUGAAAUGCGUAGAUAUCGAGAGGAACACCUGCGGCGAAGGCGGGUUGCUGGGCCGACACUGACGCUGAUGCGCGAAAGCCAGGGGAGCGAACGGG
rnacentral:rRNA from 1 species